AGCGAACGCUGGCGGCAGGCCUAACACAUGCAAGUCGAACGAACCUUUCGGGGUUACUGGCGGACGCGUGAGUAACACGUGGGAACGUGCCUUUAGGUUCGGAAUAACUCAGGGAAACUUGUGCUAAUACCGAAUGUGCCCUCCGGUGCAAAGAUUUGUCGCCUUUAGAGCGGCCCGCGUCUGAUUAGCUAGUUGGUUGAGGUAAUGGCUCACCAAGGCGACGAUCAGUAGCUGGUCAGAGAGGAUGAUCAGCCACAUUGGGACUGAGACACGGCCCAAACUCCUACGGGAGGCAGCAGUGGGGAAUCUUGCGCAAUGGGCGAAAGCCUGACGCAGCCAUGACGCGUGAAUGAUGAAGGUCUUAGGAUUGUAAAAUUCUUUAACCGGGGACGAUAAUGACGGUACCCGGAGAAGAAGCCCCGGCUAACUUCGUG
rnacentral:rRNA from 1 species